UCGGGAAUUUUGGGCAAUGGGCGCAAGCCUGACCCAGCAACGCCGCGUGAGGGAUGAAGUAUUUCGGUAUGUAAACCUCGAAAGAAUGGGAAGAAUAAAUGACGGUACCAUUUAUAAGCUCCGGCUAACUACGUGCCAGCAGCCGCGGUAAUACGUAGGGAGCAAGCGUUGUUCGGAUUUACUGGGCGUAAAGGGCGCGUAGGCGGCGCGGUAAGUCACUUGUGAAAUCUCUGAGCUUAACUCAGAACGGCCAAGUGAUACUGCUGUGCUAGAGUGCGGAAGAGGCAACCGGAAUUCUCGGUGUAGCAGUGAAAUGCGUAGAUAUCAAGAGGAACACCUGAGGCGAAGGCGGGUUGCUGGGCCGACACUGACGCUGAUGCGCGAAAGCCAGGGGAGCAAAC
rnacentral:rRNA from 1 species